rnacentral:rRNA from 1 species
UAGGGAAUCUUCCACAAUGGACGCAAGUCUGAUGGAGCAACGCCGCGUGAGUGAAGAAGGUUUUCGGACCGUAAAGCUCUGUUGUUGGUGAAGAAGGAUAGAGGUAGUAACUGGCCUUUAUUUGACGGUAAUCAACCAGAAAGUCACGGCUAACUACGUGCCAGCAGCCGCGGUAAUCGUAGGUGGCAAGCGUUGUCCGGAUUUAUUGGGCGUAAAGCGAGCGCAGGCGGAAGAAUAAGUCUGAUGUGAAAGCCCUCGGCUUAACCGAGGAAUUGCAUCGGAAACUGCUUUUCUUGAGUGCAGAAGAGGAGAGUAGAACUCCAUGUGUAGCGGUGGAAUGCGUAGAUAUAUGGAAGAAUACCAGUGGCGAAGGCGGCUCUCUGGUCUGCAACUGACGCUGAGGCUCGAAAGCAUGGGUAGCGAACAGGAUUAGAUACCCUGGUAGUCCAUGCCGUAAACGAUGAGUGCUAAGUGUUGGGAGGCUUCCGCCUCUCAGUGCUGCAGCUAACGCAUUAAGCACUCCGCCUGGGGGAGUACGAUCGCAAGGUUGAAAC